CCACAAUUGAAAAUCUUUUCUUUUUUUCAAGCAAUGUACCGGUGAAAGUUGCUCUAAGAAUCCUUCUCUUGAAACAGUGAUCCAAUUUAUCCCUUAAAGCAGUAAGUUCUUUCGACGCAACAGAAUUCGUGGAAAAGCCUUUUUUUUUUGAAGCAGGGAUCCCCUCUUUUCACGGUAAAUAAUCUGUAUUGCAGUUUCUUUCAUAUCAAGAACUCCAUAUUUUCUUUUAUGAUGAUCGUUCUGAUGUUGUAUUUAAUUGUAGGAACGUAAUUUGAUGAUUUGAACACUGAGAAUCCAAUGCAAAUACCAAUUGAUGCAGCGAAUUACAUACAAGGGGACUAGUCCAAAAAAAUAUCAUAUCUUUAUCUAAUCUCAGGAUAGUUAAUUUAUGAACUCACAAUGAGAAUGCAUGUUAGUCUUCAAAUCUGAAUUAUUAAACCAUGCAUGACGAAUUGAUGGCUUUUGAUGCAUUGCACCACAAUCAAGACCUUUUCUGGCUUUCCGCUUUAAUCUUAUUUAUUGCUUGGCUUGUUAUGGACUUGUGCUGAUGAUUGGUUGACUAUAUGUGCUUUUAUUUGGAAAAGUCCAUUUUGACUAUUGCAACAACCAAUUUACUAGAUUGAUUUGACCUUGUUAAGAUCACUGGAUAAUUUGAUAUAUAUUUCACUAGUAUUUUGGAAAAGUCAAGGCUUCUGGACUGUCUCUUGUGCACGGGGAUUUAUUUUACUUUUCCCACCUCUGUCUAGGAGGCUUGUGGAAGAAGUUGAUUUUAGGUCCACGAGAGAAUUGUUCGGUAGGGGAAGUGAUGAGAAGACCCUGGAUAAUUUUAUUCCCAAAUCUGAAAGUGACGUCUUAGAAUAUGCUGAACUUAUAUCUCAUAAGCUGUGUUCCUACGAGGU
rnacentral:lncRNA from 1 species